AACGAACGCUGGCGGCAGGCUUAACACAUGCAAGUCGAACGCAUCCUUCGGGGUGAGUGGCAGACGGGUGAGUAACGCGUGGGAACGUGCCCUUCAGUUCGGGAUAACCCAGGGAAACUUGGGCUAAUACCGGAUACGUGCGAGAGCAGAAAGAUUUAUCGCUGAAGGAUCGGCCCGCGUCUGAUUAGCUAGUUGGUGGGGUAAUGGCCCACCAAGGCGACUAUCAGUAGCUGGUCUGAGAGGAUGAUCAGCCACAUUGGGACGGAGACACGGCCCAAACUCCUACGAGAGGCAGCAGUGGGGAAUAUUGGACAAUGGGCGCAAGCCUGAUCCAGCCAUGCUGCGUGAGUGAUGCAGGCCUUAGGGUUGUAAAGCUCUUUCGUCCGGGACGAUAAUGACGGUACCGGAAGAAGAAGCCCCGGCUAACUUCGUUCCAGCAGCCGCAGUAA
rnacentral:rRNA from 1 species